GGGUUUGAUCCUGGCUCAGGAUGAACGCUGGCGGCGUGCUUGAUACAGGCAAGUCGAACGGGCUAGCUAGGGGCUGAAGCCCUGGGCGGGGCGGAAGAUGAGAAAUCGUUGGAAGCUCAAGAGAGGGUAGAGGUCUUGGUGCUGGCCAGUGGCGAACGGGUGCGUAACACGUGGGUAAUCCACCCUCAAGUGGGGAAUAACCGUUCGAAAGGGCAGCUAAUUCCGCAUGUGGUCCGAAAGGAAGAAAGGGCGAGAGCUCGCUUGAGGACGAGCCUGCGGCCGAUUAGCUAGUUGGUGAGGUAACGGCCCACCAAGGCGAUGAUCGGUAGCUGGUCUGAGAGGACGAUCAGCCACACUGGAACUGGAACACGGUCCAGACUCCUACGGGAGGCAGCCGCAAGGAAUAUUGCACAAUGGGGGGAACCCUGAUGCAGCAACGCCGCGUGGGCGAUGAAGGCCUUCGGGUUGUAAAGCCCUUCUCUGAAGGAAGAGACAAGGACGGUACUUUAGGAAUAAGUCUCGGCUAACUACGUGCCAGCAGCCGCGGUAAAACGUAGGAGACGAGCGUUAUCCGGAUUUACUGGGCGUAAAGGGCAAGUAGGCGGUACUCAAAGUUGGACGUGACAUCUCUCGGCUUAACUGGGAGGGGUCGUCCAAAACUAGAGAACUAGAGGGCAGGAGAGGGGAGUGGAAUUCCUAGUGUAGCGGUGGAAUGCUUAGAUAUUAGGAAAAACACCAGUGGCGAAGGCGACUCUCUGGCCUGACCCUGACGCUGAGAGGCGAAAGCUAGGGGAGCGAACGGGCUUAGAUACCCCGGUAGUCCUAGCCGUAAACUUUGGAUACUGGGUAUUGGGGGUCAACAAGCCCUCAGUGCCGAAGCGAACGCGUUAAGUAUCCCGCCUGGGGACUACGGCCGCAAGGUUAAAACUCAAAGGAAUUGACGGGGACCCGCACAAGCAGCGGAGCGUGUGGUUUAAUUCGAUUGACACGAAGAACCUUACCUGGGUUUGACAUGUAGGUAGUAGGGAAGCGAAAGCAGACCGACCCUUCGGGGAGCCUGCACAGGUGCUGCAUGGCUGUCGUCAGCUCGUGCCGUGAGGUGUUGGGUUAAGUCCCACAACGAGCGCAACCCCUGUUGCCAGUUAGAGAUUUCUGGCGAGACUGCCGGCAUAUAACCGGAGGAAGGUGGGGAUGACGUCAAGUCAGCAUGGCCUUUAUAUCCAGGGCUACACGCACGCUACAAUGGUCGGUACAGAGGGGCGCGAAGCCGCGAGGUGGAGCAAAUCUCAGAAAGCCGAUCUCAGUUCAGAUUGCAGGCUGCAACCCGCCUGCAUGAAGUCGGAGUUGCUAGUAACCGCAGGUCAGCCAUACUGCGGUGAAUACGUUCCCGGGUCUUGUACACACCGCCCGUCACGUCAUGGAAGCUGGCAAUACCUAAAGUCGGUGAGCUAACCGAAAGGGGGCAACUGCCUAAGGUAGGGCUAGUAACUGGGACGAAGUCGAAACAAGGUA
rnacentral:rRNA from 1 species